AGUUUUUAUUUUUAUUUUUUAUUUUUUAAUUAUUAUCGUAUAAAGAACUAAGAUGGAACCGAAAACCCUUCCUUAAACCUUGCUGGGCUUUUGUCUUCCUCUUCUGUGAAAGCCCUGAAGCCACAAACAAUGGCAAACCCCAAACUCCUCCGCCGAAUCCUACUCCGUUCACCACUAAACGACACCGUUUUGGAUGGCGCGAGGCUUUUCUUCUCCCCUUUCCACGAGUGGCGUUCUCACUACUCAUCCAUUGCCCCCGAAACACUCACUCAAGAAGAAAACCCCGGCGACAACAACAGCAACAAAUGGUUCACUUUGCCUCCGUACACUUCCACCGUCGACGGUGGAAUUCUGGGGAAGGAGAUCGCGAGAAACCGAUUGGAAAAUAAAAACGACGCCGCAAUAGGCCGUGGAGCUGCAAACCCCCCAUAUAGCUCCUCCACCACGGCGCUUAAAUGGGUUGUCCGUUGUUGCCCUGAGCUUCCUAGAAGCCUUGUUCAGAAGCUCUUCCGCCUCAGACAGGUUCGAAGGGAAUCCUGUGACAUUGGACAUUCUGAAAUGGGCGAUGAAUUACAGAAACCCCGACUUCGCAGGGUGACAGCUAAAGACUCUAUGAACUUAGGAGACCGAAUAUAUCUACCAAUUAGCGUUCAAGAGUUCCCAGUUGAUAAGAAAGAAUAUCAUUGCAACGAAGAAGAAGUGAGCUUUAUCCGCAGCCUUGAGCUAUACAAGGAUCCUGCAAUUAUUGUUGUCAAUAAACCUCCUGGAAUGCCAGUUCAGGGAGGGAUUGGAAUCAAAAGAAGUUUAGAUGAACUGGCCGCCACCUGCUUAAGUUAUGACUGCUUGGAACCCCCUCGGCUAGUACACAGACUUGACAGAGAUAGUAGUGGCAUCUUGGUGAUGGGAAGGACACAAACAAGUGCAACAGUUUUGCAUACCAUCUUCCGUGAGAAAACCUUUGGAGCAUCACAUGAUGUGGGUAAAGAAAUAGACAAUGUAAAGAGAAUUCUGCAAAGAAGGUAUUGGGCACUUGUUAUUGGAUCUCCAAGACAUCGGAAGGGUUUCAUCUCAGCACCUCUGAGAAAGGUUGUAUUGGACAAUGGAAAAUCAGAUCGAAUCACAGUAAUGCACAAUUCCCAAACUUUGGCGUCACAACAUGCAAUUACAAAGUAUAAAGUGAUUGGAUCAUCUCAUGGAUAUACAUGGUUAGAACUUUCCCCUAUUACUGGUAGAAAGCACCAGCUUCGUGUCCACUGUGCCGAGGUCUUGGGAACACCAAUACUUGGAGACUACAAAUAUGGGUGGCAAGCUCAUAAAAACUGGAAACCUUUUCCUUGUUCUAAUCAUGAAAACAACUCAAAUGAAGUUCCGAAAAGAAAAAUCCUUCCCUUUGGUCUCGAUUUAGAUAAUGGAGAUAUUUCUGACAAGCAUCCUCGUCUACAUCUUCAUUGCAAGCAAAUGGUUUUGCCUGAUAUUUCUCUGGUUUUGCAAAAUGUGCAACUGUAUUCAGACUAUGAUCUUUCACACCUAGAAAGCAUCAAGUUGGUUGCUUCUUUGCCUUCGCAUAUGCAACGAAGUUGGGAACUUACAAACUCUUAAGUUACAACUAGAUCCUCCAAGCUUCAUUUAUAUCCCGUUGAGGUGAUUUUAGUGCUCCAACUCAUUUUGCCAGGUUUUUUACUCAUAUUUGUACUUACCCAAUACUAGAGACAUUGUUAUGUUUUCACAGUAGGGUAUUAUUUUGGGUUCAGACAAUUUUAGAAGUUCAUAUGUGGCCUCGGUAAAAGAUUAUCAUGUACAAUGCUGCUCAUUACUUCAGCUGGAAGGGAAAGAACAAAAGAGUUCUUCAGUUGGCUGCUAACUUGACAUCCAGAGGUUUUUUAUGUACGGCCAGGAGGACAUUGUUUAUUUUCUGGAACAGUUUGUCUAGUGCAUGUACUGUCAUUAUAAUUAUUCUGUUGUUUUGUACCAUGAAAAAAUUAGGAUAACCAGUUCUUUCAUACACAGGAAAACUCUACAGCUAAGUUACUACUCCAGUGGUCGUGUGCAAUGGCAAUUAGCCAGUAACCUCACAUUCUAUUGUCCAUCUUAUCCAGUUUCCUUUGCAGGCCCAUCUUUCAGCAUAACAUGAGUUGUUUGAAGCUUGACUUAAUGCUUGGUUUUUACUUCAUUUGUACCAACGGGUUUAUCCGUCUAUGGUGUGUACGGAGUGUUGACGGCAGUUGCAGUUGUUGAAAAAACAAUCAUCAAUAUUCAUGGUCAGCAUGGAGACUGUCUAUGACUGUCUAUACCGUAGAAUUUUAUAUAUAUAUAUAUUUAUAUAUAUCUUUAUUUUGGUUGAUUUGAUAUUCAUAAGAAGAAUAUGAUCUAAUCCAAUAAUGACAUUGACUCAACUAAAAUAUGACAUGUCUAAUGUUGACUUUGUCCAAGUCUAAAUUUGUAGGUAACCAUCCUUCCAACUACUCCAUGAGAAAGUUUACAUGUUUUGUUUAUUCCAAUUUAGUGAAGACUGUAAAAUGGUGUCAAGAGACACUCAUUACCGCUUGCA